GACAGAGGUGCCGAGCGUUAGGCGGAAUCACUGGGCUUAAAGCGUGUGUAGGCGGGUCGUUAAGUGCCUUGUGAAAUCCCAUGGCUUAACCAUGGAACUGCUUGGCAUACUGGCGAUCUUGGGCCAGCUAGGGGUUACCGGAACAAACGGUGGAGCGGUGAAAUGCGUAGAUAUCGUUUGGAACGCCAAUGGUGAAAACAGGUAACUGGGGCUGUGCCGACGCUGAUGUGCGAAAGCGUGGGGAGCAAACAGG
rnacentral:rRNA from 1 species